rnacentral:rRNA from 1 species
UACGGAGGGUGCCAGCGUUAUCCGGAAUCACUGGGUUUAAAGGGUGCGUAGGCGGCGCAAUAAGUCAGAGGUGAAAGACCACAGCUCAACUGUGGGACUGCCUUUGAUACUGUAGUGCUUGAAUUAGGCUGAGGUCGGCGGAAUGUGACAUGUACCGGUGAAAUGCUUAGAUAUGUCAUAGAACACCAAUUGCGCAGGCAGCUGACUAGCCCUUAAUUGACGCUGAGGCACGAAAGCGUGGGGAGCGCACAGG